rnacentral:lncRNA from 1 species
GGACUACGGGGGUACUGCCUGGACUAUAACCCUCCCAGGGAAAACAAUGUGGAAGGCCCCAUGUCCUUUUGUACCUCUGCCACGGGAUGGGUCAGAACCAGUUUUUCGAGUGUACAUCCCGGUCAGAAAUACGAUAUAACACCCACCAGCCUGAGGCCUGCAUAGCAGUGGAGGAAGGGAAGGAUCCUUAUCACGGGUCUCUGGAAAGAUACCGUUCCAGAGAAUCAAGAGUUCAUCCUACAGGAGGACCGCACCUUAGUCUACAAGCAGAGCAGGAAAUGUGUGGAGGCCACAGAGGAGGAGUUCAACUCUGCCUUUGCUCCGAACUUGCGAGACUGUAGCAACUCAGACAGCCAGAGGUGGUUCUUCAAGGAGCGCAUGUCAUAGUGCACGGCCUUGUCAGGGAAGGAGCCCACCGCGGCCGGGGGCUGUGUGCCCAGUGAGAGGGACAAAGUACGUGGUUGUCAUCUGUGAAUGUGUUGGACUCCACAACAAUGUGAAUUAUAUUUGUACAGAUUUGGAAAACUUUAAAAAUGUCUUCCAGUAUCCCGUUUUCUAAGGGCCGUCCUAAGAUGCUGCCUUUGGUAUUUGGGAAGCUUAAUGCACGAUGUGCAUUUUACCCAUGGUGCCUUUUAUUCUCAUUAGCAGAAAGGGGAAAUAUUUUACUUUGUUACUUACGAA